rnacentral:lncRNA from 10 species
UUCAGGAGUCUAGGCUUUCAAAAAAAUCCAGUACAGUGAGAAAGACAUGACAUGGCUGAGAUGGAGAGAAUAUGAGGUGGCCACAGCAGAAAAGUUGAGAACAAUUUGAAAGAGGAAAAUCUGUGGCCAAAUUCAAGGCACCCUAGGCUGUGAUCCUGGAACUGAACAUCUGAUGAGUCAAUACAGGGCACGGAGUAGUGCUCUUCUCCCUGAACCAUGAGACCUGCAUCUCAGGUUGCAGAAAACAUGUGGAGCAGAGGUACAGAGCCUUCACUUUGCUGCAGCAACAAAUAAAGACUUUGAAGUCCUCCAUUGGAUCUUCUCGGAAGAUGAGGGAAAUGAGAGAGUGUGGAGAGAGAUUUUGUAAGUCCGGUCUGGAAGUGGUCAUUGUUCAGAAUCCAGCCACGUGGGUACAUGGAACUGUAAGCUGUCUCUUAGCGAAGAAUAAAACUGUGGACUGACCCCCACCCAUUUGCGAAGAAAGUACUGGGUCUUCAGCUUUCAUUGUUCAGCCGGUGGUCUUUGUGGACAACACCAGGGGCCCCUCCUGCUGAAGACUGUCUGGACUUCCUGAUUUUCACUCCUGUAUAAACCCCCUCCCCCAUUACUACCUUUGUCUCCUUGGGGAAAAAAAAUGUUUUUCACUUAAGCAAAAUAAUAACUACCCAGUAUUUGUUUCUGGAGUGAAAUUGUAAACUUCAUUGUACAUUCUUCCUGGCUUUGAUGCUUAUCGUGAAGAGUUCAGUGAAAAUAAAUUGUUUUUAUGAAAGCAGAGAAACCAUUUGAUAAACACGCUGUCUCUGAAAAUCGUUCCUGCAAAAGAGGUCAUUCUUUCACUUUAAAAGAAAUAGAAUAUAUUUCAGAAAACAGGCAGGACAACAUACAAAUUUUUUUUUAAGGCAGAGUGUAAAUACAGUGAAAAUUGCACACCUCCUGAUUGUGUGGAGUGUUUUGG